GCCUGGCAGGCUCAGUUGGUGGAGCAUGCAACUCUUGAUCGCAAGGCUGUGAGUUCAAGCCCCAUGUGGGGUA
rnacentral:tRNA from 1 species